GAUAUGAUGUUAAAAAGCACUUGAGCUGAAAGUUACAAGAGGUGGGGUGAUUACGUAUCUGGUUUGAUAAUUCAUUAAUCCUGAUUUAGAAGUGCUAACCAGUGGGCCACGGCUGCCC